rnacentral:rRNA from 1 species
AUUGAACGCUGGCGGCAUGCCUAACACAUGCAAGUCGAACGGCAGCACGACCUAGCUUGCUAGGUUGGUGGCGAGUGGCGCACGGGUGAGUAAUGCGUAGGCAUAUACCUUAAAGUGGGGGACAACCUGGGGAAACUCAGGCUAAUACCGCAUGAGCUCUAAGGAGGAAAGCUGGGGACCUUUCGGGGCCUGGCGCUUUAAGAAUAGCUUACGUCCGAUUAGGUAGUUGGUGGGGUAAAGGCUUACCAAGACGCUGAUCGGUAGCUGGUCUGAGAGGAUGCUCGGCCACACUGGGACUGAGAGACGGCCCAGACUACUAAGGGAGGAAGGAGUGGGGAAGAUUGGACAAUGGGGGAAACCCUGAUCCAGCGAUGCCGCGUGUGUGAAGAAGGCCUGCGGGUUGUAAAGCACUUUCGGUGGGGAGGAGGACUUAUAGGUUAAGAGCUAAUGAGUUGGACGUUACCCACAUAAGAAGCACCGGCUAACUCCGUGCCAGCCGCCGCGGUAA